GGCGGACGGGUGAGUAACACGUGGGCAACCUGCCUUAUACAGGGGGAUAGCCACCCGAAAGGGUGAUUAAUACCGCAUAACACUGAGAAGCCACGUGGCUAUUCAGUCAAAGGAGCAAUCCGGUAUAAGAUGGGCCCGCGGUCCAUUAGAUAGUUGGUGAGGUAACGGCUCACCAAGUCGACGAUGGGUAGCCGAUCUGAGAGGAUGACCGGCCACAUUGGAACUGAGACACGGUCCAGACUCCUACGGGAGGCAGCAGUGGGGAAUAUUGCGCAAUGGGGGAAACCCUGACGCAGCAACGCCGCGUGAGCGAUGAAGGCCUUCGGGUCGUAAAGCUCUGUCUUUUGGGACGAUAAUGACGGUACCAAAGGAGGAAGCCACGGCUAACUACGUGCCAGCAGCCGCGGUAAUACGUAGGUGGCGAGCGUUGUCCGGAAUUACUGGGCGUAAAGGGUGCGUAGGCGGAAGCUUAAGUCAGAUGUGAAAUCCCAAGGCUCAACCUUGGAGUGGCAUUUGAAACUGGGUUUCUUGAGUGCA
rnacentral:rRNA from 1 species